UAUAGAGGCAUGUGUUAAAAAUUCAAAAAGAAAAUGAAAAUAUUCAAUAAUAUACCAAAUGGAAAAUUUCAUUUUUUUUCCACUGAAUUUAAUAAAAUGACCAGGAAAAAAUCAAACCUCAACAAUCAGCGGAGCAGAGGGUGCGCGAGAACGUAACGCAAGGUAAUUUUAGUCGAACAAUACACAAAUAAUAGGGAUAUCAGACAGUCCUGCAGAAUGAACUGAACAUGAACGAAAGAACGAAAGAGGCAGCGGACAAGCAGCAUGUCUGUUCCACGGUACUUAACAUGGAAUAAAUCGGGUAAAAAAUUGCAGCCAUGAAAACAAGGAAACCACAUCCUUCAAUUACAGGCAUAUUCGUAACUAAGACAUUGAUCCGACUUUAUGCGGUACUUCCAAAACAAAGUCAAUGUUUUUAUUUACGUCUGUUAUUGGUGAAUAUUCCUGGAUCAAUGUCUUAUGAAUUUUUGCGAACAAUUAAUGGCCGAGUAUUCAAUACAUACCAAGAUGCAUACCGCGAAUUGAAAUUGUUAGAAGAUGAUAACCAUUGGGAUCGUACACUUGCUGAUGCUGCGUUGACAUCAACGACAGAUAAAAUUCGUCAAACGUUUGAAAUUAUUUUAACAUCGUGUAAUCCAUCUCAAGCAUCGAAUUUACCAAUGUGAAAACAAUGAUUUCAGCAAUAAGAUUUAUAAUGAAGCAUUAGUGUUAAUAGAGGAUUUAUGUAUAAUUAAUUCAAAUUUACCACUUAAUAAUUAUGGUAUCCUAAAACCAUAUCGACCGGCUGCAGACGUGGUUAACAAAUAUUUACAACGAGAAAAACAAUUUCACCAUAGUAAUUUCGGUACAAUUAAUGCGAACUGUCAGCGAUUACUGACAGCGG